UUGAAUGGUCUUUGACCUUCUACCCCUCAAACCUGUGGAAGCCAAAAAUGUGCUUCGGCGUCCUUUUCGGGCGCCGCUUUUAUGCAUAAAUCUGUGUGUCGUCUGAAUCAUACACAAGAAUCA
rnacentral:misc_RNA from 1 species